rnacentral:rRNA from 1 species
GACGAACGCUGGCGGCGUGCCUAAUACAUGCAAGUCGAGCGCUGAAGGGUGGUUCUCGUUCCAACUGGUUGAGCAGCGAACGGGUGAGUAACGCGCGGGCAAUCUGUCUCUUAGCGUGGGACAACAUUUGGAAACGAAUGCUAAUACCGCAUAAAAACUUUAAACACAAGAUUUAAGUAUUAAAGAUGCUAUUGCAUCACUCAAAGAUGAUCCCGCGUUGUAUUAGCUAGUUUGUGAGGUAAAGGCUCACCAAGGCGAUGAUACAUAGCCGACCUGAGCGGGAGAGCGGGCACAGUCAGACUGGGACACGGCCCAAACUCCUACGGGAGGCAGCAGUAGGGGUACUGAAGAAAUGGACGAGAGUCUGACCGAGCACCGCCGAGGGAGUGUAGAAGGUGAUCGGAUCGUAAAACUCUGUCGGUAGAGAAGGGCGAUGAUGAGAGUGGAAAGCUCAGCAAGUGACGGUAACUAACCAGUAAGGGACGGCUAACUACGUG